UACUCUAGGAAAUAGAUAUCUCAGCUCUUUUCACGAUGAAUAACGUAGAGAAAUGAGAUACUUAGUGUGAAUUGUAGAAUCAUGUGCAUCAUCGAGUUUUUUAACGUAAUUUAUGGGAGUCACAUCCUACACACACACACUCCUUGCAAGGCAUUG
rnacentral:rRNA from 1 species